GGGAAGGAAUCAUCCAAUUUAAAUUCAACAUGCCAUCAUCACACGUUGAUGGAGGAGGUUCAGAGUUCCUAAGGAACCAGCAUUCUCCAAUGUUGCCAAGAGCAAGGCAGUGGUUAGAGAAGAAUGUACGAGGAGCAAUACGAGCCGACGUGUCAAAUCCCCCUGAAACGGAACAUUCUAGUAAUCAGGUUCCACGGGCAACUCCACAAAACUGUUUGUGGACAACGAGUAUUGAUGAAACAGAGGAAACCAUGUCGGAGCACGAUGUUGACUGCUACGAACAUAAACUGCAAGAAUAGUCAUUUGACUGCG